UUGAAGAGUUUGAUCAUGGCUCAGAUUGAACGCUGGCGGCAGGCCUAACACAUGCAAGUCGAGCGGUAGCACAGAGAGCUUGCUCUCGGGUGACGAGCGGCGGACGGGUGAGUAAUGUCUGGGAAACUGCCUGAUGGAGGGGGAUAACUACUGGAAACGGUAGCUAAUACCGCAUAAUGUCGCAAGACCAAAGUGGGGGACCUUCGGGCCUCAUGCCAUCAGAUGUGCCCAGAUGGGAUUAGCUAGUAGGUGGGGUAACGGCUCACCUAGGCGACGAUCCCUAGCUGGUCUGAGAGGAUGACCAGCCACACUGGAACUGAGACACGGUCCAGACUCCUACGGGAGGCAGCAGUGGGGAAUAUUGCACAAUGGGCGCAAGCCUGAUGCAGCCAUGCCGCGUGUGUGAAGAAGGCCUUCGGGUUGUAAAGCACUUUCAGCGGGGAGGAAGGCGUUAAGGUUAAUAACCUUGGCGAUUGACGUUACCCGCAGAAGAAGCACCGGCUAACUCCGUGCCAGCAGCCGCGGUAAUACGGAGGGUGCAAGCGUUAAUCGGAAUUACUGGGCGUAAAGCGCACGCAGGCGGUCUGUCAAGUCGGAUGUGAAAUCCCCGGGCUCAACCUGGGAACUGCAUUCGAAACUGGCAGGCUAGAGUCUUGUAGAGGGGGGGUAGAAUUCCAGGUGUAGCGGUGAAAUGCGUAGAGAUCUGGAGGAAUACCGGUGGCGAAGGCGGCCCCCUGGACAAAGACUGACGCUCAGGUGCGAAAGCGUGGGGAGCAAACAGGAUUAGAUACCCUGGUAGUCCACGCCGUAAACGAUGUCGAUUUGGAGGUUGUGCCCUUGAGGCGUGGCUUCCGGAGCUAACGCGUUAAAUCGACCGCCUGGGGAGUACGGCCGCAAGGUUAAAACUCAAAUGAAUUGACGGGGGCCCGCACAAGCGGUGGAGCAUGUGGUUUAAUUCGAUGCAACGCGAAGAACCUUACCUUGGUCUUGACAUCCACAGAACUUAGCAGAGAUGCUUUGGUGCCUUCGGGAACUGUGAGACAGGUGCUGCAUGGCUGUCGUCAGCUCGUGUUGUGAAAUGUUGGGUUAAGUCCCGCAACGAGCGCAACCCUUAUCCUUUGUUGCCAGCGGUCCGGCCGGGAACUCAAAGGAGACUGCCAGUGAUAAACUGGAGGAAGGUGGGGAUGACGUCAAGUCAUCAUGGCCCUUGACCAGGGCUACACACGUGCUACAAUGGCAUAUACAAAGAGAAGCGACCUCGCGAGAGCAAGCGGACCUCAUAAAGUAUGUCGUAGUCCGGAUUGGAGUCUGCAACUCGACUCCAUGAAGUCGGAAUCGCUAGUAAUCGUAGAUCAGAAUGCUACGGUGAAUACGUUCCCGGGCCUUGUACACACCGCCCGUCACACCAUGGGAGUGGGUUGCAAAAGAAGUAGGUAGCUUAACCUUCGGGAGGGCGCUUACCACUUUGUGAUUCAUGACUGGGGUGAAGUCGUAACAAGGUAACCGUAGGGGAACCUGCGGUUGGAUCACCUCCUU
rnacentral:rRNA from 1 species